ensembl:lncRNA novel transcript
UCUCACAUUCCAUGAAACAUUCCAUGUUUCCCAGGCACAAGGUAACUGCCUCUUUCACCCAUUUUUUUCCCUCUCUUUCUGUUUUUGGUUUGUUUUUUGUUGUUGUUGUUGUUUGGUUUUUUUUGAGACAAGAUCUCACUCUGUCACCCAGGCUGGAGUGCAAUAGUGCAAUCUCAGCUCACUGCAGCCUCAGCCUCCGGGGGUCAAUCGAUUCUCCCACCUCAGCCUCCCAAGUAGCCGGGACAACAGGCAUGCACAACCAUGCCCAGCUAAUUUUGUUAUCGGAAAGGGGUCCCAAUCCAGACCCCAAGAGAGGGUUCCUGGAUCUCAUACAAGAAAGAAUUCAAGGCAAAUCCAUAGAGGAAAGUGAAAGCCAGUUUACUAAGGGAGUAAAAGAAUGGCUACUCCAUAGGCAGAAAAGCCCCAAGAGCUGCUGGCUGCCCAUUUUUAUGGUUAUUUCUUGAUGAUAUGCUAAACAAGGGGUGGAUUAUUCAUGCCUCCCCUUUUUAGGCCAUAUAGGGUAACUUCCUGAUGUUGCCAUGGCAUUUGUAAACUGUCAUGGUGCUGGUGGGAGUGUAGCAGUGAGGACGACCAGAGGUCACUCUCAUCACCAUCUUGGUUUUGGUGGGUUUUAGCUGGCUUCUUUACUGCAAACUGUUUUAUCAGCAAGGUCUUUGUGACCUGUAUCUUGUUCUGACCUCUAUCUCAUCCUGUGAUUUAGAAGGUCUAACUGUCUGGGAAUGCAGCCCAGUAGGUCUCAGCCUUAUUUUACACAGCCCCUAUUCAAGAUGGAGUUGCUCUAGUUCAACUGCCUCUGACAAUUUUAUUUUUUGUAGAUACAAGGUCUCACUAUGUUGCCCAGGCUGGUCUCGAACUCCUAGACUCAAGUGAUUCUCCUGCCUUGGCCUCCCAAAGUGCUGGGAUUACAGGCAUGAGUCACCGCACUCAGCCUCUCUCUGUCUUUAUUUACCAUUUUAGUCAGCUGGAGCACUUGUUAAAAGACUCUUAUAAAUCUCUUUUUCCUCUGACUUCCAUUCAUAAUACAGAGCUGAGCCGCUCACCAUCCCAUAGGUUGUCCAGAAUGUCUCUUCCCUGGCUUCCACUGCCUCUGUUGAGUGUCCAUGGGGUCCUGUGGAUCCUGUGGUGCAAAGGCUGAGACCUCAGCCCUAAAGCAGAGCCCAGAACAGGAGACCACCACCAAGGCCUCUUGCUUGGAUUUUUGGUUUCUUUUGGUGAAAACUUCACUCACUGUUCUCACUCACCCUGCCAGUGGGAAAAUAAACCCAUACGAAAAUGGUCUUGGGACUGGGAGCCCUGCUAAACCCUUGUUCAGGUUAAACUCCCUUAAGUAACAGAGAACAGACCUGACUGAGCUUGAUCUCCUAGGAUAUUUCUCUGUGCUGAGAGCCUAACCAGGAAAAACGUUAAACAGAUCACUUAGCUGAUGGCAAAUAUAUGUGACCAAUUCUCAGCCUCAGCCACAGAAGGGACUUGAUGGGUGGGACCUUGGCACCACCCCUUCCCCCACUGCCCCCACUGCCUUGGUCUAAAUCUGCAUCUCGUAGAAUUCUUUGCACAACAGCAGACCUAUUGUGAGGACUUUCCUUCUCCCUAACCCCAUCCCCCUAUCAAGUAAGAUGUUUACUUCCAGUACUAGAAGGGGGCGGGCAUGCAGGCAGAAAUAGAAGGAAUUCUAACCAUAGCUAACCAAAGUCAGAUUUCCAGGCCACUCCACUCACCGGGGUCUGCUUUAACCUCUGGGAACAAAGUAAACAAAAAGCUGGAUUGUUGCAUCCUGCUCUGAAGGUUAAAGUUUUGAUUCAAGGUUAAAGUUUUGAUAUCUUCUGUGCCUCACAGCCUUUUGUUUCACUCUGAUGCUAUUAUUUACUCAUCCUUUUGCACAGGAGGUCACUUUGCAUAGACGAGAAGAACUUGAGGCUGAGCCUCUACCUAUGGUCUGUUGGAACCUAAGGAAGCCAGUUCAUUUCUCCCAAUCUCAAUGCCCUCAUCUGUAAAAGUAGGGAAAUUAUACUGGGCUUGCUGGGUUGGUUUGUGUGUGUAUGUGUGAACUAUAAAUACUUGAAAACGACUACCCCUUUCAGAAAGGGUUACUAUUGCUAUUACUGUUAUCUGUGCCUUUAUGUAUGUAUAACUGAUCUGUCUCCUCUACUAGGCUAUGCAUUUGAGAGCAAGAAUUGUGUCUGUAUUGCUAACAGCAAUUCCAGCGCCUAACAAAGAGGAGGUGCUGUGGAGGCCAAAGCAACUCCAACUUGGAUGCUAAUCCAUCACUUUAACUUCUGAUUAACCCUUGUUCUAGGAAGUCCUCUAAGAUUUCCAGUUUAUUUGAUGUUUCUUGUGUGAGAGUAGGUACCUACUGUAAAUCCUGCCCUGAGGUCAAAACAACCUUGAUGUUAUAGGACUUCAAUUGUUCUACACAAACAUUCUGAAUCACAUAUACCCUUUCCCAGUAUUAUAUAAGCCCUGGUCAUGAGAAUAAAUGGUGCAGGAUCCACCAUCUUGCCUCACUGCUGCCUGAGACACAGACAUGGCUUCUGUUUGUAAGUCCCUAUUAAGUGUAUAUUUCUGAGGAACUGGAUAUGUCAGCCUUUUUCUUCAGCCUCUCAGCUUCCUUGGAUUUUUGGGGGUAGGUUUGCUGAGGCCUGGCCCCCAUGGAACAGGUGCUCCAUCAAGGAGUAAGUGCUGAGCAUUUAGAUUCAGGUGAGGGGCAGCAGCCACCAGGAAAGAAGAGUCUAUGCAUAAUUACCUGCCCUACUUCCUGAGUCAGGGGUUCUCAAAUUCUUUGUGUUCAGGACACAUUUGAAGAGCCGGCACAUUCAGACAACAGUGACUCAGCAAUCAUUGCAACUUAAUCCCUACUACUGAAGAACAACAUCUCAUAAUGUCUACAAAAGCAACCACUAUGACCCCACCAUUUACUGGGAUGCGCUUCAGCACUACAGUUAGAAGGUGGAACGCUGACUGCCCGAAUGUCCUUCCUCUAAUAUACACAAGAAGAUUUCUCACCUGUCUAGUUAACCACUAUAUUUCUUGGUCCCUGGCUUGACAACAUACCUCUUACCUCCUCACAGCACUACAUAGUGUGUUGGCAUGCAGUCAUGUUUCAGGCAGGCACUUCAAAUUUGCCCUUGGAAUUCCAGGAUUUUGCUUUUGCAGUUUCUAAUUGUCAACAAUCCUGAAGGCCCUUGACAUGUGGUCAUUUGUAAUUUUGCUGAGAUGUAAUUUUUUUUUUUUUUUUGAGACAGAGUCUCGCUCUGUCGUCCAGGCUGGAGUGCAGUGGCAUGAUCUCAGCUCACUGCAAUCUCCGCCUCCCGGGUUCAAGCAAUUCUCCUGCCUCAGCCUCCUGAGUAGCUGAGAUUACAGGCACAUGCCACCACGCCCAGCUAAUUUUUGUAUUUUUAGUACAGAUGAGGUUUCACCAUGUUGGUAAGGCUGGUCUCGAACUCCUAACAUCAUGAUCCACCCACCUUGGCCUCCCAAAGUGCUGGGAUUACAAGCAUGAGCCACUGUACCCGGCCUGAGAUGUCAAUUUUUAAAAAUUAGUUUAUAAGUAAUACAUAAGUAUAUGUAUAUUCCAAAAUGUCUAUACAAUAAAAAAAUAUGGAAG